UCGGGAAUUUUGGGCAAUGGGCGAAAGCCUGACCCAGCAACGCCGCGUGAAGGAUGAAGUAUUUCGGUAUGUAAACUUCGAAAGAAUAGGAAGAAUAAAUGACGGUACUAUUUAUAAGGUCCGGCUAACUACGUGCCAGCAGCCGCGGUAAUACGUAGGGACCAAGCGUUGUUCGGAUUUACUGGGCGUAAAGGGCGCGUAGGCGGCAAUUCAAGUCAUCUGUGAAAUCCCCGGGCUUAACUCGGAACGGUCAGAUGAUACUGCUUUGCUAGAGUGCAGAAGGGGCAAUCGGAAUUCUUGGUGUAGCGGUGAAAUGCGUAGAUAUCAAGAGGAACACCUGAGGUGAAGACGGGUUGCUGGGCUGACACUGACGCUGAGGCGCGAAAGCCAGGGGAGCAAACGGGAUUAGAUACCCAAGUAGUCCCUGAGCGGGCUGGCAAGGCGCAU
rnacentral:rRNA from 1 species